rnacentral:rRNA from 1 species
GAUGAACGCUGGCGGCGUGCCUAAUACAUGCAAGUCGAGCGAACGGACGGGAAGCUUGCUUUUCUGAUGUUAGCGGCGGACGGGUGAGUAACACGUGGAUAACCUACCUAUAAGACUGGGAUAACUUCGGGAAACCGGAGCUAAUACCGGAUAAUAUUUUGAACCGCAUGGUUCAAAAGUGAAAGACGGUCUUGCUGUCACUUAUAGAUGGAUCCGCGCUGCAUUAGCUAGUUGGUAAGGUAACGGCUUACCAAGGCAACGAUGCAUAGCCGACCUGAGAGGGUGAUCGGCCACACUGGAACUGAGACACGGUCCAGACUCCUACGGGAGGCAGCAGUAGGGAAUCUUCCGCAAUGGGCGAAAGCCUGACGGAGCAACGCCGCGUGAGUGAUGAAGGUCGUCGGAUCGUAAAACUCUGUUAUUAGGGAAGAACAUAUGUGUAAGUAACUGUGCACAUCUUGACGGUACCUAAUCAGAAAGCCACGGCUAACUACGUGC